rnacentral:rRNA from 1 species
CUGAAAAGAACGCUAAUACCGCAUAAGAUUGUAGUUUCGCAUGGGACAGCAAUCAAAGGAGCAAUCCGCUGAAAGAUGGACUCGCGUCCGAUUAGAUAGUUGGCGGGGUAACGGCCCACCAAGUCGACGAUCGGUAGCCGGACUGAGAGGUUGAUCGGCCACAUUGGGACUGAGACACGGCCCAGACUCCUACGGGAGGCAGCAGUGAGGGAUAUUGGGCAAUGGGGGAAACCCUGACCCAGCAACGCCGCGUGAGGGAUGACGGUUUUCGGAUUGUAAACCUCUGUCCUCUGUGA